rnacentral:rRNA from 1 species
CCUACGGGAGGCAGCAGUAAGGAAUAUUGGUCAAUGGACGCAAGUCUGAACCAGCCAUGCCGCGUGAAGGAUUAAGGUCCUCUGGAUUGUAAACUUCUUUUAUCUGGGACGAAAAAAGGCGAUUCUUCGUCACUUGACGGUACCAGAUGAAUAAGCACCGGCUAACUCCGUGCCAGCAGCCGCGGUAAUACGGAGGGUGCAAGCGUUAUCCGGAUUCACUGGGUUUAAAGGGUGCGUAGGCGGGCAGGUAAGUCAGUGGUGAAAUCCUAGAGCUUAACUCUAGAACUGCCAUUGAUACUAUCUGUCUUGAAUAUUGUGGAGGUAAGCGGAAUAUGUCAUGUAGCGGUGAAAUGCUUAGAUAUGACAUAGAACACCUAUUGCGAAGGCAGCUUACUACGCAUAUAUUGACGCUGAGGCACGAAAGCGUGGGGAUCAAACAGGAUUAGAUACCCUGGUAGUCCACGCCCUAAACGAUGAUUACUCGACAUUUGUGAUACACUAUAAGUGUUNUGAGAGAAGANAUAAGUAAUACCACCGNGGAGUACGACCGACGAGUAGAACGUACGAAGAAGUAGAGGACGUGAGACGNGCGACGGACGACGACGAGGGGAGGAGG